rnacentral:rRNA from 1 species
GUGCCAGCGGCGCGGUAAUACCGGCAGCUCAAGUGAUGUCCCAUAUUAUUGGGCCUAAAGCGUCCGUAGCUGGCUGCGCAAGUCCGUCGGGAAAUCCACUCGCCCAACGAGUGGGCGUCCGACGGAAACUGCACAGCUUGGGACCGGAAGGCUCGAAGGGUACGUUCGGGGUAGGAGUGAAAUCCUAUAAUCCCGCACGGACCACCGAUGGUGAAAGCACUUCGAGAAAGCGGAUCCGACAGUGAGGGACGAAAGCCAGGGUCUCCAACCGGAUUAGAUACCCCAGUAGUCC